UACGUAGGGUGCGAGCGUUGUCCGGAAUUACUGGGCGUAAAGAGCUCGUAGGUGGUUUGUCGCGUUGUUCGUGAAAACCUGAGGCUUAACCUUGGGCGUGCGGGCGAUACGGGCAGACUGGAGUACUGCAGGGGAGACUGGAAUUCCUGGUGUAGCGGUGGAAUGCGCAGAUAUCAGGAGGAACACCGGUGGCGAAGGCGGGCUCUGG
rnacentral:rRNA from 1 species